UACGUAGGGUGCGAGCGUUAAUCGGAAUUACUGGGCGUAAAGCGUGCGCAGGCGGUGAGCUGUGUCCGAUGUGAAAGCCCCGGGCUUAACCUGGGAAUGGCAUUGGAAACUGGCUCGCUGGAGUGUGGCAGAGGGGGGUGGAAUUCCGCGUGUAGCAGUGAAAUGCGUAGAGAUGCGGAGGAACACCGAUGGCGAAGGCAGCCACCUGGACUGCACCUGACGCUGACACGCGAAAGCUAGGGGAGCGAACGGG
rnacentral:rRNA from 1 species